GGGCCCGCACAAGCGGUGGAGCAUGUGGUUUAAUUCGACGCAACGCGAAGAACCUUACCCAGACUUGACAUGCAAUAGACGGGUGUGGAAACACACCUUCCCUUCGGGGCUGUUGCACAGGUGCUGCAUGGCUGUCGUCAGCUCGUGUCGUGAGAUGUUGGGUUAAGUCCCGCAACGAGCGCAACCCUUGUCCUUAGUUGCUAACGGAUGAUGCCGAGCACUCUAAGGAGACUGCCGGUGAUAAACCGGAGGAAGGUGGGGAUGACGUCAAGUCCUCAUGGCCCUUACGUCUGGGGCUACACACGUGCUACAAUGGCCGGUACAAAGGGUUCCGAUACCGCGAGGUGGAGGCAAUCCCAAAAAACCGGUCUCAGUUCGGAUUGCAGUCUGCAACUCGACUGCAUGAAGUCGGAAUCGCUAGUAAUCGCUGAUCAGCAGGCAGCGGUGAAUACGUUCCCGGGCCUU
rnacentral:rRNA from 1 species